CACAACCUGGUUGAUCCUGCCAGUAGUCAUAUGCUUGUCUCAAAGAUUAAGCCGUGCAUGUCUCAGUAUAAGCUUCUACAUGGCGACACUGCGAAUGGCUCAUUAAAACAGUUAUCGUUUAUUUGGUGGUCAUUCAUUACAUGGAUAACCAUGGUAAUUCUAGAGUUAAUACAUGCAUCCAAACCCAACUUCUCG
rnacentral:rRNA from 1 species